GUGACUUUUAGCUCAGUGGUUAGAGCGCCGUGUUAGUUACACGGAGGUCAUGAGUUCGAUUCUCAUACACAUCACG
rnacentral:tRNA from 1 species